CGCCUCCACCAUGCCGCCACUCCGCCGGAGUCCCAAGUAAGUUUCUAUUGCUGAACUCAUCUAUACUGAGACCAAGCAAACCAAUUUCGUAGCCGCGGGAGCCGCCGCUAGGGAGCCACCCGUCGCGCCUUCUCCUCGGGAGCCGCCGCGCACUUCGCCGCGGGGGAGCCGCCCGCCGCGCCCUUCGCUGCCCGAGCCGCUCAGCUUGGCCUCUGCCGUGGGGACAGCUUGCCCUCAUGCCACCCAACACGGUCUGCAGUCCGUCACAACCAUCCGAUAACUCACGCCAUACACUACAGGGUGGUCACUAACAUGAAUCUGAGGCGCUGCCAUUAUGCACGGUUAUGGAUAAACGACGACGGUUUUGGAUAAUCUGGUCUAAGAGCUUCUGGAGAAAAAAAUCCUAAUCAAGCAGUUUGGCAACAACAAUGCUGAGAUUAAGUUCAGCAAGGGAGCUGAACAACCUUUUAUAGUGUCCACUCUCACAAAUACUCUGGUCUGGUAAACUACAAGGUAGCCAGCUGCUAAUAAAGACAAGCCCAUGAGGAGAACUGGAUAUAAUGUUAACUCAUGUUCAACUGUUUUGCCUUUUCCCAUGAAGCUUUGCAACUGCAAGGCUCCGGUCUCUGUUAAUAUUAAUGUAAUACCAGGAGAUGAAGUGAUGGAGAUGAAUUUAGCAUUUUAACAAAUCAACCGGUCAAGCCACCAAAUCAUGAUCCUGUAAUGUUAUAGUACAACUUCGAAAGGAUGAGAUACUUUUGGUUUCAUGCUUAACGACAACUAUUUGGUACCACUCAAACUGGACACCGAAGCAAUUUUGAACUCAUGUCAAACAUGUUUGCUAUUUCCUUCAAUUUUUUCCUUUUAUUUCUGCACGAACUCCUCAGUAUGUACUUCCUGGUGCUAUAUAGUUUUUCCAUAUGCAAUCUGUGGACCAUCACACUCUGAAGUACAAUCGAUGGCUCUAUAUUUUUUAACUUGUCAGCUACAUUUAAAGCUAAUGUGAUGAUGAAAACUUAGCAUCAGUGCACUUUUGCCUACCCUACUCUACUCAAUUGCUAAGCCAGCAAGGAUAAAAGCUUGCCUUGCCUUUUGCCUUUUUGUGUGUGCUGGUAAGAACCCGAUUGUUAUCCUCUUCUCAUGGCCCUGUUAAGUACAAUCUUUGUUUAAAAAACCACAUAUAUAUUAUGAUUCAUAAUAGCAUUGCAACCUUGUAGGCAAAGGUUUGGAACACGCGGCGAUCAAAAUUUAUACAACAGCUUUCAGUAUAGUAUUCCGAGGAAUACUAAAUGGUCUAACGUGUCCUUAUUUGCCAGCGUUAAGGUCAACCGUAGUGCUAGCGCUUAGUGCUCUGUGUUCAAUUCUGGGGUGGCACGUGGCAGACCAAAGAUUGACAGAGCUUGUCAUUUUAUGAAUUUCAGGCUGUCAUUUUACUAAUUUGAAAAGGUUGGCCGCUGAAAACUUCAUUUAUGCACACAGACCAUCCAUGGAUUAGAUAGGAUGUACGAUGCAGUGGCUACAUCGACCGCCCCGAACUCGCCG